UACGUAGGUGGCAAGCGUUGUCCGGAAUUACUGGGUGUAAAGAGCGUGUAGACGGGGAUGCAAGUCAGAUGUGAAAUUCCAGGGCUCAACCCUGGCGCUGCAUCUGAAACUGUGUCUCUUGAGUGCUGGAGAGGAAAGCGGAAUUCCUAGUGUAGCGGUGAAAUGCGUAGAUAUUAGGAGGAACACCAGUGGCGAAGGCGGCUUUCUGGACAGUAACUGACGUUGAGGAGCGAAAGCGUGGGGAGCAAACAGG
rnacentral:rRNA from 1 species